GACGAACGCUGGCGGCGUGCUUAACACAUGCAAGUCGAACGAUGAACCCGGAGCUUGCUCCGGUGGAUUAGUGGCGAACGGGUGAGUAACACGUGAGUAACCUGCCCUUGACUCUGGGAUAACUGCGGGAAACUGUAGCUAAUACCGGAUACGACCCUCGGCGGCAUCGCCAGGGGGUGGAAGGAAUUUCGGUCAAGGAUGGACUCGCGGCCUAUCAGCUAGUUGGUGAGGUAACGGCUCACCAAGGCGACGACGGGUAGCCGGCCUGAGAGGGUGACCGGCCACACUGGGACUGAGACACGGCCCAGACUCCUACGGGAGGCAGCAGUGGGGAAUAUUGCACAAUGGGCGCAAGCCUGAUGCAGCAACGCCGCGUGAGGGAUGACGGCCUUCGGGUUGUAAACCUCUUUUAGCAGGGAAGAAGCGAGAGUGACGGUACCUGCAGAAAAAGCACCGGCUAACUACGUGCCAGCCGCCGCAGUAA
rnacentral:rRNA from 1 species